rnacentral:rRNA from 1 species
UACGUAGGGUGCGAGCGUUGCCCGGAUUUAUUGGGCGUAAAGGGCGCGUAGGCGGCUCGGCACGUCCGUUGUGAAAUCGCUCGGCUCAACUGGGCGAGGUCAGCGGAUACGGUCGAGCUUGAGCCAGCUAGGGGGCAAUGGAAUUCCCGGUGUAGUGGUGGAAUGCGCAGAUAUCAGGAGGAACACCGGUGGCGAAGGCGGGUCUCUGGGCCGGAACUGACGCUGAGGAGCGAAAGCGUGGGGAGCGAACAGG